AAAUUGAAGAGUUUGAUCAUGGCUCAGAUUGAACGCUGGCGGCAGGCCUAACACAUGCAAGUCGAACGGUAACAGGAAACAGCUUGCUGUUUCGCUGACGAGUGGCGGACGGGUGAGUAAUAUCUGGGAAACUGCCUGAUGGAGGGGGAUAACUACUGGAAACGGUAGCUAAUACCGCAUAACGUCGCAAGACCAAAGAGGGGGACCUUAGGGCCUCUUGCCAUCGGAUGUGCCCAGAUGGGAUUAGCUAGUAGGUGGGGUAAAGGCUCACCUAGGCGACGAUC
rnacentral:rRNA from 1 species